AUGCUGCAGCGCUCCUCGCGGUCUGCGCGCUUUGCUCCCGCCCGUGUAGAGCCUUUCUUCUGGUGCGGGGUGCCGGACCCUUCAUGGGGACCGAUUUCAUCCGUUUUAGUGAGUUUCGAUGUACCCGCGCUAGGAGAUAGCGGACAGAGUCCCUUUGAGAACCGAUGUAAAGUGGUUUUCAAACUUCUGUUGGAAGGCACAGUUCCUUUGUACGAAAUCUCUGUAUGUGGAAGGUGGAGUAAUUUACUGCUGUGUGAUGGUCAUCAGCUCAUUAAUGGAGCUAGAAGUAAGAACUAUGAAGACUUCAAAAAACAUAACUCCGUAGAGUUGCUUGCUCUGCUACCAUGAGCUGAGAAGAAUCAGUUCUUUACAGUGAAGACAGAUUAAAUGUACAACCUUGAGUCCUUCCAUGGAGCAACGAGAUGCAUCAGUACCUUGUCAUCUGUGAAGGCAUGGCGUUACCCACAUUUGUUUUGGACUAUGCGGAUUAUAUUAUUACUGUAUAUCAUGUUCUUUCACAUCAGCUAUCAUCUCACUUAAAUAUUAUUGUCCUUUUCUGAGAAUUGUCUAUAAUCUGCUAUACAGCAGAAUAAAGUUUUACUAUCGUGAAAUAGCUCUGCUUAG
rnacentral:lncRNA from 1 species